UGGGGAAUUUUACGCAAUGGGCGAAAGCCUGACGUAGCGACACCGCGUGAACGAAGAAGCCUUUUGGGGUGUAAAGUUCUGUCAGCAGGGACGAAAAAAAUGACGGUACCUGCAGAGGAAGCAUCGGCUAACUACGUGCCAGCAGCCGCGGUAAGACGUAGGAUGCAAGCGUUGUCCGGACUUAUUGGGCGUAAAGAGUUCGUAGGUGGUUUGUUAAGUCUGAUGUUAAAGACUGGGGCUCAACCUCGGAAAUGCAUUGGAUACUGGCAGACUUGAGUGCAGUAGAGGCAAGUGGAAUUCCCAGUGUAGCGGUGAAAUGCGUAGAUAUUGGGAAGAACACCGGUGGCGCAAGCGACUUGCUGGGCUGUAACUGACGCUGAGGAACGAAAGCUAGGGGAGCAAAUGGGAUUAGAUACCCAGUAGUCCUAGCCGUAAACGAUGGAUACUAGGCGUAUCGGGUAUCGACCCUGAUGUGCCGUAGCUAACGCGAU
rnacentral:rRNA from 1 species